UACAGAGGUCCCAAGCGUUGUUCGGAUUCAUUGGGCGUAAAGGGUGCGUAGGCGGCGCGGUAAGUCGGGUGUGAAAUCUCGGAGCUUAACUCCGAAACUGCAUUCGAUACUGCCGGUGCUUGAGGACUGGAGAGGAGACUGGAAUUUACGGUGUAAGCGGUGAAUGCGUAGAUAUCGUAAGGAAGACCAGUGGCGGAAGGCGGGUCUCUGGACAGUUCCUGACGCUGAGGCACGAAGGCCAGGGGAGCAAACGGG
rnacentral:rRNA from 1 species